GAGAUAUAGAUUGUCACCUUUGCUAAAACUGGAAUGUUACAGAGAAGAUUAGCAUGGCCCCUGUGCAAGGAUGACACGCUUUAAUCGAGAUAUGGUCCAAAUUUUU
rnacentral:snRNA from 1 species